rnacentral:rRNA from 1 species
AAACGACUCUCGGCAACGGAUAUCUCGGCUCUCGCAUCGAUGAAGAAMGUAGCGAAAUGCGAUACUUGGKGUGAAUUGCAGAAUCCCGUGAACCMUCGAGUCUUUGAACGCAARUUGCGCCCGAARCCAUUAUGCCGAGGGCACGUCUGCCUGGGSGUCACGCGA